ACGGGUGAGUAACACGUGAGUAACCUGCCCUUGACUCUGGGAUAAGCGUUGGAAACGACGUCUAAUACCGGAUACCAGCUUCCACCGCAUGGUGAGUUGCUGGAAAGAAUUUUGGUCAAGGAUGGACUCGCGGCCUAUCACCUUGUUGGUGAGGUAACGGCUCACCAAGGCGACUACUGGUAGCCGGCCUGAUAGGGUGACCGGCCACACUGGGACUGACACACGGCCCAGACUCCUACGGGAGGCAGCAGUGGGGAAUAUUGCACAAUGGGCGAAAGCCUGAUGCAGCAACGCCUCGUGAGGGACGACGGCCUUCGGGUUGUAAACCUCUUUUAGCAGGGAAGAAGCGAAAGUGACGGUACCUGCACAAAAAGCACCGGCAAACUACGUGCCAGCAGCCGCGGUAAUACCUACGGUGCAAGCGUUGUCCGGAAUUAUUGGGCGUAAAGAGCUCGUAAGCGGUUUGUCGCGUCUGCUGUGAAAUCCCGAGGCUCAACCUCCGGUCUGCGAUGGGUACGGGCAGACUAUAGUGCGGUAGGAGAGAUUGUAAUUCCUGGUGUAGCGGUGGAAUGCGC
rnacentral:rRNA from 1 species